rnacentral:rRNA from 1 species
GUGCCAGCAGCCGCGGUAAUACAGAGGGAGCAAGCGUUAUCCGGAAUGAUUGGGCGUAAAGCGUCUGUAGGUGGUCGAAAAAGUCAACUGUCAAAUCCCAAGGCUCAACCUUGGCUGGGCAGUCGAGUACUUUUUGACUUGAGUGCGGUAGAGGUAGAGGGAAUCCCUAGCGUAACAGUGAAAUGUGUAGAUUUUAGGGAGAACACCAGCGGCGAAGGCGCUCUACUGGGCCGAGACUGACACUGAGAGACGAAAGCUAAGGGAGCGAAUAGGAUUAGAUACCCUAGUAGUCC